UGCCAGGCCAGGCCAAGCCAGAGGGUGGCUAUGAUGGAGUGGGGCGGCCUCACAGCAAAUCAUUAAUGCAUAUAGAUGCCCUACCUGCUAGUGGCCUCUUUUCUUGGCCAGAAGAAUCUGCAAAAAAGAGUACAAAACAUUGUGUUCAAAAGUUUUGGAGUUUGUAACAUAUACAGACUCAUACACACAUGCCCAGAAACACACAAACUGCUUGUGAUACAUACAUUUGGUGCCAACAUAAACAGGGCCCUGGCCAAAAACUGUGUUGGUUAGCAACUGGCCAAUGAAGUGUUUAAAGUUAGAGGCCAACAGAAAAACCCAAACAGUGGUGUUUUUCCUAAACUUGAAAUCACCAGUCAGUAUUGCUUUUCCUCUGCAGAAUGGUUUUCUAAUAUCUUCACUCAGGAAAGAUCCUGUCUGCAAAGAGGCCCGUGACGGAUUUGCUAUUAGCUCCCUCAGCCCACGGCUGUCAACACCCUGCGAACACAUGGAGAGCAAUUGCUGUUCCCAGGCCAUGUGCAGAAACGGGUCCCCGAGGUCAGCCACAGAGUCUCACUUGCCUAGAACCACAGCCUGGUUUUUCCUCUCGUAAAUCCAUUUAGUUUGAUAAGAUUGGGCUCAGUUUUGGCUGCACACAGACUAGAGUGUUCUGCAUGGUGAGAGCAAAGGACUGCUUGGUGAGUUCAGACAAUGCCUCCAUUGUUUUCUGAUUUAUUGAAAGCUCAGGUUUUGCUAGUAUUACAUGUACUCGUUUUGCAAAGCAGGGAUUAGUGAGAUUUUUUUUUUUGACCUGAAAGCUAUCGCUGUACAGUGUUGGUUUCUCAGCGUCUCUAGUUUGUUGUCAGCUGCCUUUUCCACAGCCAAGUAAUGGCCACUGAAAGGGUGGGUAGGUGUUUUUAUAACCAUUCUUUCUUUCCAUCUUCCUAUUUGGCCAACACACAUUGACUUGUCUCAUGUCUGCUCUGAGUUUCCUAACUGACUGCAGAAGAGGAUCUGUUUGAGGCUUUUUCUUCAUCAUCACUCUUAUUUAAUACCUUGGUUGUACGGUCUUUCUUUCUUGUUGAUGCUAUCCCAUUGCCAAACCAGUGCAGGUUAUAGCCAACAUGGGCAUCUGGGCAUAUUCAUGAGGCUUCAGAUGCCCUCUUCAAUUGGCCUCUGCAUGCAGCUCAUGCACAGGUUCCCUCUAACACCUGCUUCUCAGAAAUUUGUUGCAGAGGAGUCACUAGGGUAACCUACGAUAUUUUUCUUAUGAAAAGGACAAUAUCAGAAAUGCUUAGAAAUUAGUCUGCGGCAGGAAAUCAGAAACAGCUGAUUCAUCUUCAAGUCCAAUUACGCUCGCUUUGCCCUUCCUCUCUUUCACCCACCACACCUUCACCCCUGCA
rnacentral:lncRNA from 1 species